GCGCCUAUAUCUCCUUCAUAUAAACUCCAAAUUAUACAAACUUGCACCAAAACCAUAGCCAAAAAGCUAAACUUACUAAUUCUAGCCUUCAAAGCUCAAAUGGCUCCAAGAAACUAACCUUAAUUCCUAAUAUGGCCUCAGGCAGCCUCCUCAAAGUCCAUUGGUCAUGAUUUUUGACCAAUAGGAAUGGAGAUUUUCAUCAUUCAUCUCCAUUCAUCUACAUUGG
rnacentral:lncRNA from 1 species